GAUGAAGAACGUAGCGAAAUGCGAUAAGUAGUGUGAAUUGCAGAAUUCAGUGAAUCAUCGAAUCUUUGAACGCACAUUGCGCCCCUUGGUAUUCCAUGGGGCAUGCCUGUUCGAGCGUCAUUUGUACCUUCAAGCUCUGCUUGGUGUUGGGUGUUUGUCUCGCCUCUGCGUGUAGACUCGCCUCAAAACAAUUGGCAGCCGGCGUAUUGAUUUCGGAGCGCAGUACAUCUCGCGCUUUGCACUCAUAACGACGACGUCCAAAAGUACAUUUUUACACUCUUGACCUCGGAUCAGGUAGGAAUACCCGCUGAACUUAAGCAUAUCAAUAAGCGGAGGA
rnacentral:misc_RNA from 1 species